rnacentral:rRNA from 1 species
UACAGAGACUGCAAGCGUUAUUCGGAUUCACUGGGCGUAAAGGGUGCGCAGGCGGUUGGGUGUGUCAGAUGUGAAAAUCCCGAGGCUUAACCUCGGAACUGCGUCUGAAACUACUCGACUAGAGUACUGGAGAGGGAAACGGAAUUCACGGUGUAGCAGUGAAAAUGCGUUGAGAUCGGAAGGAACGCCCGUGGCGAAAAGCGAGGUCCUGGACGCCUACUGACGCUGAGACGCGAAAAGCCAGGGGGAGCGAAACGGGGAUUAGAAA